rnacentral:rRNA from 1 species
AUUCUGGCUCAGGAUGAACGCUGGCGGCGUGCUUAACACAUGCAAGUCGAACGGGAUCCAUCAGGCUUUGCUUGGUGGUGAGAGUGGCGAACGGGUGAGUAAUGCGUGACCGACCUGCCCCAUACACCGGAAUAGCUCCUGGAAACGGGUGGUAAUGCCGGAUGCUCCGACUCCUCGCAUGGGGUGUCGGGAAAGAUUUCAUCGGUAUGGGAUGGGGUCGCGUCCUAUCAGGUAGUCGGCGGGGUAACGGCCCACCGAGCCUACGACGGGUAGCCGGCCUGAGAGGGCGACCGGCCACAUUGGGACUGAGAUACGGCCCAGACUCCUACGGGAGGCAGCAGUGGGGAAUAUUGCACAAUGGGCGCAAGCCUGAUGCAGCGACGCCGCGUGAGGGAUGGAGGCCUUCGGGUUGUAAACCUCUUUUAUCGGGGAGCAAGCGAGAGUGAGUUUACCCGUUGAAUAAGCACCGGCUAACUACGUGCCAGCAGCCGCGGUAAUACGUAGGGUGCAAGCGUUAUCCGGAAUUAUUGGGCGUAAAGGGCUCGUAGGCGGUUCGUCGCGUCCGGUGUGAAAGUCCAUCGCUUAACGGUGGAUCCGCGCCGGGUACGGGCGGGCUUGAGUGCGGUAGGGGAGACUGGAAUUCCCGGUGUAACGGUGGAAUGUGUAGAUAUCGGGAAGAACACCAAUGGCGAAGGCAGGUCUCUGGGCCGUUACUGACGCUGAGGAGCGAAAGCGUGGGGAGCGAACAGGAUUAGAUACCCUGGUAGUCCACGCCGUAAACGGUGGAUGCUGGAUGUGGGGCCCGUUCCACGGGUUCCGUGUCGGAGCUAACGCGUUAAGCAUCCCGCCUGGGGAGUACGGCCGCAAGGCUAAAACUCAAAGAAAUUGACGGGGGCCCGCACAAGCGGCGGAGCAUGCGGAUUAAUUCGAUGCAACGCGAAGAACCUUACCUGGGCUUGACAUGUUCCCGACGGUCGUAGAGAUACGGCUUCCCUUCGGGGCGGGUUCACAGGUGGUGCAUGGUCGUCGUCAGCUCGUGUCGUGAGAUGUUGGGUUAAGUCCCGCAACGAGCGCAACCCUCGCCCCGUGUUGCCAGCGGAUUAUGCCGGGAACUCACGGGGGACCGCCGGGGUUAACUCGGAGGAAGGUGGGGAUGACGUCAGAUCAUCAUGCCCCUUACGUCCAGGGCUUCACGCAUGCUACAAUGGCCGGUACAACGGGAUGCGAC